UACAGAGGUCUCAAGCGUUGUUCGGAUUCAUUGGGCGUAAAGGGUGCGUAGGUGGCGCGCUAAGUCAGGUGUGAAAUUUCGGAGCUUAACUCCGAAACUGCAUUUGAUACUGGUGUGCUUGAGGACUGGAGAGGAGACUGGAAUUCAUGGUGUAGCAGUGAAAUGCGUAGAGAUCAUGAGGAAGACCAGUGGCGAAGGCGGGUCUCUGGACAGUUCCUGACACUGGGGCACGAAGGCCAGGGGAGCAAACGGG
rnacentral:rRNA from 1 species